UUAAGCGACUAAGCGUACACGGUGGAUGCCCUGGCAGUCAGAGGCGAUGAAGGACGUGCUAAUCUGCGAAAAGCGUCGGUAAGGUGAUAUGAACCGUUAUAACCGGCGAUGUCCGAAUGGGGAAACCCAGUGCAAUUCGUUGCACUAUCGUUAACUGAAUACAUAGGUUAACGAGGCGAACCGGGGGAACUGAAACAUCUAAGUACCCCGAGGAAAAGAAAUCAACCGAGAUUCCCCCAGUAGCGGCGAGCGAACGGGGAGCAGCCCAGAGUCUGAAUCAGCUUGUGUGUUAGUGGAACGGUCUGGAAAGUCCGACGGUACAGGGUGAUAGUCCCGUACACCAAAAUGCACAGGCUGUGAACUCGAAGAGUAGGGCGGGACACGUGGUAUCCUGUCUGAAUAUGGGGGGACCAUCCUCCAAGGCUAAAUACUCCUGACUGACCGAUAGUGAACCAGUACCGUGAGGGAAAGGCGAAAAGAACCCCGGCGAGGGGAGUGAAAAAGAACCUGAAACCGUGUACGUACAAGCAGUGGGAGCACCUUCGGGUGUGACUGCGUACCUUUUGUAUAAUGGGUCAGCGACUUAUAUUCUGUAGCAAGGUUAACCGUAUAGGGGAGCCGCAGGGAAACCGAGUCUUAACUGGGCGUUAAGUUGCAGGGUAUAGACCCGAAACCCGGUGAUCUAGCCAUGGGCAGGUUGAAGGUUGGGUAACACUAACUGGAGGACCGAACCGACUAAUGUUGAAAAAUUAGCGGAUGACUUGUGGCUGGGGGUGAAAGGCCAAUCAAACCGGGAGAUAGCUGGUUCUCCCCGAAAGCUAUUUAGGUAGCGCCUCGUGAACUCAUCUUCGGGGGUAGAGCACUGUUUCGGCUAGGGGGUCAUCCCGACUUACCAACCCGAUGCAAACUACGAAUACCGAAGAAUGUUAUCACGGGAGACACACGGCGGGUGCUAACGUCCGUCGUGAAGAGGGAAACAACCCAGACCGCCAGCUAAGGUCCCAAAGUCAUGGUUAAGUGGGAAACGAUGUGGGAAGGCACAGACAGCCAGGAUGUUGGCUUAGAAGCAGCCAUCAUUUAAAGAAAGCGUAAUAGCUCACUGGUCGAGUCGGCCUGCGCGGAAGAUGUAACGGGGCUAAACCAUGCACCGAAGCUGCGGCAGCGACACUAUGUGUUGUUGGGUAGGGGAGCGUUCUGUAAGCCUGCGAAGGUGACCUGUGAGGGUUGCUGGAGGUAUCAGAAGUGCGAAUGCUGACAUAAGUAACGAUAAAGCGGGUGAAAAGCCCGCUCGCCGGAAGACCAAGGGUUCCUGUCCAACGUUAAUCGGGGCAGGGUGAGUCGACCCCUAAGGCGAGGCCGAAAGGCGUAGUCGAUGGGAAACAGGUUAAUAUUCCUGUACUUGGUGUUACUGCGAAGGGGGGACGGAGAAGGCUAUGUUAGCCGGGCGACGGUUGUCCCGGUUUAAGCAUGUAGGCUGGUUGUCCAGGCAAAUCCGGAUAAUCAAGGCUGAGGUGUGAUGACGAGGUACUACGGUGCUGAAGUAACAAAUGCCCUGCUUCCAGGAAAAGCCUCUAAGCAUCAGGUAACAUCAAAUCGUACCCCAAACCGACACAGGUGGUCAGGUAGAGAAUACCAAGGCGCUUGAGAGAACUCGGGUGAAGGAACUAGGCAAAAUGGUGCCGUAACUUCGGGAGAAGGCACGCUGGUGUGUAGGUGAAGUCCCUGCGGAUGGAGCUGAGACCAGUCGAAGAUACCAGCUGGCUGCAACUGUUUAUUAAAAACACAGCACUGUGCAAACACGAAAGUGGACGUAUACGGUGUGACGCCUGCCCGGUGCCGGAAGGUUAAUUGAUGGGGUUAUCCGUAAGGAGAAGCUCUUGAUCGAAGCCCCGGUAAACGGCGGCCGUAACUAUAACGGUCCUAAGGUAGCGAAAUUCCUUGUCGGGUAAGUUCCGACCUGCACGAAUGGCGUAAUGAUGGCCAGGCUGUCUCCACCCGAGACUCAGUGAAAUUGAACUCGCUGUGAAGAUGCAGUGUACCCGCGGCAAGACGGAAAGACCCCGUGAACCUUUACUAUAGCUUGACACUGAACAUUGAGCCUUGAUGUGUAGGAUAGGUGGGAGGCUUUGAAGCGUGGACGCCAGUCUGCGUGGAGCCAACCUUGAAAUACCACCCUUUAAUGUUUGAUGUUCUAACGUUGGCCCCUGACCGGGGUUGCGGACAGUGUCUGGUGGGUAGUUUGACUGGGGCGGUCUCCUCCCAAAGCGUAACGGAGGAGCACGAAGGUUAGCUAAUCCUGGUCGGACAUCAGGAGGUUAGUGCAAUGGCAUAAGCUAGCUUGACUGCGAGCGUGACGGCGCGAGCAGGUGCGAAAGCAGGUCAUAGUGAUCCGGUGGUUCUGAAUGGAAGGGCCAUCGCUCAACGGAUAAAAGGUACUCCGGGGAUAACAGGCUGAUACCGCCCAAGAGUUCAUAUCGACGGCGGUGUUUGGCACCUCGAUGUCGGCUCAUCACAUCCUGGGGCUGAAGUAGGUCCCAAGGGUAUGGCUGUUCGCCAUUUAAAGUGGUACGCGAGCUGGGUUUAGAACGUCGUGAGACAGUUCGGUCCCUAUCUGCCGUGGGCGCUGGAGAAUUGAGGGGGGCUGCUCCUAGUACGAGAGGACCGGAGUGGACGCAUCACUGGUGUUCGGGUUGUCAUGCCAAUGGCACUGCCCGGUAGCUAAAUGCGGAAGAGAUAAGUGCUGAAAGCAUCUAAGCACGAAACUUGCCCCGAGAUGAGUUCUCCCUGAGACUUUAAGUCUCCUGAAGGAACGUUGAAGACGACGACGUUGAUAGGCCGGGUGUGUAAGCGCAGCGAUGCGUUGAGCUAACCGGUACUAAUGAACCGUGAGGCUUAACCUU
rnacentral:rRNA from 1 species